GCCUGGUUAGCUCAAUCGGUAGAGCGUGAGACUCUUAGCAGACUUUCACGUUCCCACAAGAACGAUUGAUCUCGUCGCAAUCUCAAGGUUGCGGGUUCGACCCCCGCAUCGGGCU
rnacentral:tRNA from 1 species